CAGAUCAUCACCAGAGUCCACACACCGAGCGCUUGUCACAGCAGAGAACCAGUCUGGUCAUCCAACGAGGCAAAUACAUAAUAAAAGAUCAAUGGAUAGCUUUGUCAUUAACACUUUGACAGAGUGCCAGACCUUGUCGAAAGAUUUAAAAGCUUCCAUGUAAUAUGUCAAAGUGACUCCAAUAGAUGAAUAGAGCCGGCCACUGGAUUCCUGGAGGAAAGGCUGCGGAACGUCAGGAAGCGGCUGAGAUCAACCAGCAGGUCGCAGAGCACGGCACAGACACCACCACAAACGCCAGAUGAUGGCGCUCUAGCAAGGGCUCUCAU